GGCUUUAUAGUUAUGGAAUACUUUGAGUCAAACUUCUCCCCGGAAGCAAACAAACAAUCGUUGAUCAAAGCUGCAUCAUCAUUGCUGCAGUUUUAAGUAAAUAAGUUCUCAAUUAAUAUUGUGGAUAUUUCGUUACUCUAAAAUGCUAAGGAAUUUAAGAUAGAACAUACCUUUUAUUUGCUUCUAUAAUGUUGUUCACAUUUAGGUUUGAAAGGG
rnacentral:lncRNA from 1 species